UAKUUWGAUCCUKSCUYAGWAURAACGCWWMGCUAKAURCRUAUACUAAAGUUUUGUUYCUGGCUCAGRGCGAACGCUGGCGGCAGGCUUAACACAUGCAAGUCGAGCGGGCAUAGCAAUAUGUCAGCGGCAGACGGGUGAGUAACGCGUGGGAACGUACCUUUUGGUUYGGAACAACUGAGGGAAACUUCAGCUAAUACCGGAUAAGCCCUUACGGGGAAAGAUUUAUCGCCGAAAGAUCGGCCCGCGUCUGAUUAGCUAGUUGGUGAGGUAAUGGCUCACCAAGGCGACGAUCAGUAGCUGGUCUGAGAGGAUGAUCASCCACAUUGGGACUGAGACACGGCCCAAACUCCUACGGGAGGCAGCAGUGGGGAAUAUUGGACAAUGGGCGCAAGCCUGAUCCAGCCAUGCCGMGUGAGUGAUGAAGGCCCUAGGGUUGUAAAGCUYUUUUGUGCGGGAAGAUAAUGACGUACCGCAU
rnacentral:rRNA from 1 species